rnacentral:lncRNA from 1 species
GAACCGGGAGCAUGAGAGACACCGGGAUAGAGAACGGGACCGGCACCACUGAGAAAGGAGAGGGCCCCAGCUCUGGGGUUUGAGGCUGAUGAGCCAACUGAAGUGAUGGAUCUUUGACUUCUGUAUGCAUUCAGACACUACUGCCAGCCAACACCAGUUCCCUUGAUGUACCAGUUAUCCUGUGCAUCUCAUUCUGAGUCUGGGUGGAAGCAAAUUGUUUUUAAUGGACUUGCAUCUCCUCACCUUGAUCAGGACUAAAGGACGGAGGCCGCUCCACCCCUUCCCCUUCUUCCAAACCCCUAACUUCCUCCAGGCAAAACCCUCUGCCCUGCAGGAUUGAAGAUGGCUUGGCAGCCCUCCCAAUCCCACACCUUCUGUUUGCCAUGGGGGAAGAACCUAAAGACUUGCUGGGGUAGUGAACGAGGGCAUACAGGAAGACAGCAACAUGUCCAGCCCAUAGUCUCCAUAGAGAAUGGUGCUUUGUCCAAGGAAACCUGAGUUUCUGAUUGCCCAGAAGCAGUCAGUGGUGAGGUUACUAUGAGAAAAUUUCCUUCCCAGAGAAAAUGGAUCCUCUAUGUGGGGUCUUAGGAAAGUGACUGGGUGUGCCAAAAAUGCCCAGGGUUCUGCCCUCAGUACUAGAUUUGAUGGGGCCAAAAGGGUCCAAACCCUGCUAACAUACCACUUUGUUCAACUCCUGUACUUUCCUAGCCAGUUGAGGAGGGACCAUGAGAACAGAAACUACCUUGUGACAAGAAACGUGUUCUCAGU